ACUAGUGUGGUGCAGUGGUUUGAGCAUUGGACUAAGACUCCGGAGACCAGGGUUCAAAUCCCAGCUCAGUC